rnacentral:misc_RNA from 1 species
GUUUAAUCAACGUAAACAAAUUUUAUCUCAUGGAUAGUCUCUAAACUUUGCCUACUUUUUUAAUGUUAUAUUAGAUUUCUUAUUUUAUCAAUUUAAUUUAUAAGUUAUUGUUUUUAUUAAAUUUUAUUCAAUAAAUUUGGAGAAUGUAGAUGUUAAUAAUAACUCAUUGAGUCUCCUAACAUGGAUAUGUGCUCUAUAUUCAUUACACACCAUUAAAAUAAUAUCUUUUUGAAUUAAGUUGAUAAAAUAUUCAUAUGAUAUUAAUGAAAAAAACACACAAAAUUAGUGAUGUAAUAAAUAAUAUAUUCUAUUUUAAUCAGCAAAAUAAUAAAAAAAACACUUAUUA